rnacentral:rRNA from 1 species
GACGAACGCUGGCGGCGUGCCUAAUACAUGCAAGUAGAACGCUGAAGGAGGAGCUUGCUUCUCUGGAUGAGUUGCGAACGGGUGAGUAACGCGUAGGUAACCUGCCUGUUAGCGGGGGAUAACUAUUGGAAACGAUAGCUAAUACCGCAUAAGAGUAGAUGUCGCAUGACAUUUGCUUAAAAGGUGCAAUUGCAUCACUACCAGAUGGACCUGCGUUGUAUUAGCUAGUUGGUGAGGUAACGGCUCACCAAGGCAACGAUACAUAGCCGACCUGAGAGGGUGAUCGGCCACACUGGGACUGAGACACGGCCCAGAGUCCUACGGGAGGCAGCAGUAGGGAAUCUUCGGCAAUGGACGGAAGUCUGACCGAGCAACGCCGCGUGAGUGAAGAAGGUUGUCGGAUCGUAAAGCUCGGUUGUAAGAGAAGAACGAGUGUGAGAGUGGAAAGUUCACACUGUGACGGUAUCUUACCAGAAAGGGACGGCUAACUACGUG